AAUCGUUUAGGUCCAAGUUGUAAGUCUAAUUGAAUUUCUUUUCUACAUGUAAAUUAAAGUGAGAAUAUAAUUUAAAAUUAAAUAUUUAUAUAAUUUUCUCAGUAGAUUAAAUUAUUAUCAUAAACUAUUAAGGAUUGGAAAGAAAUUUAUGAGGGGUUAAUAUUGUGCCAGCACCCGCGGUCAUACAAUACCUUAAAAUUAGAGGUUUUAUAUGAAAUAAAAUUUGUUAUUAUAAGUUAAUCUUUAUAAUUUAUUUAGGUAUAAUUAACUAAAUUAUAUUGAAAUUUUUUUGCAAAUUUAAAUAAGAUUUAGAAGAACCUGGAUUAGAUACCCAGUUACAAUUUCUUAAUCUAUUUCAGACUAUUAUUAUUUAAGAAAUUUAUUGGAUUUGGCGGCAAAAUAACUUUUUAGAGGAACCUGCCCUAUAAAUGACGGUCCACAAUUUACCUUACUUUUUUUAGUAGUCAGUUUACAUACCGCUGUUGUCAGUUAGAUUCUUUAGAAAACUAUCAAUAAUAUAAAAUUAUUAACUUCAAGUAAAGGUGUAGCUUAUAAAAAAGACAGAGGUGGGUUACAAUUAAUUGAAUAAGAACGAAUUUGUUAUUGAGAAAAACUCUGAAGGAGGAUUUAAUAGUAAAAUUUUUUAAUGAAAAUUUGAUGCAAGCAAUAUUUUGUGUACAAACCGCCCGUCGCUCUCUUUUAUGAGAUAAGUCGUAACAAGGUAAGUGCAACGGAAGUUGUACUUGAUUUAAU
rnacentral:ncRNA from 1 species